rnacentral:lncRNA from 1 species
CUAGAGCAAAUUGAUGUAUAGUAUAAUAUAAAAAUCAUAUCUAUCCCAUUAUAUUGAUAAGUAUACAAAAUAAGGUUAACAUAGUAAUCAUUAUUCAUAAGUUAUUAUAUAUUGUGUAUGUACAAAGGAAGUGAUUUGGUUGAUUCAUGUUUAUAGUUAACUACAUAAACAUAAUACCCAGUCAAUCUAAUUAACCACCAGACCAGUACUUUCUUCUUUGACAUUAGCCUCAGACAUAUUUGGUGGUAAUUGUUGAUCAUAAUCCAAAAAAUUCUUUUUGAAGGUUAAAAACUUUAUGAGUAGUUUUUAUAAAACUAUAGAAAAAAAAUUUAAAUCCAGAAAAAUGUGAAGAAGGUAACCUUUAUAGUGGCCCCCUAUUUAGAUGUAAAUUAUUAUUUGUUUAAAAAGGUUUCACAAAUCUUUGCCUCUGAUUAUUUAUUGAAUAUAGAUUCUAAGAGGCUAAAGGGUAUGAACUCUUAAAAGAUGAUUCUUAAAUAUUUUCCUUUUCUUAGAAGGUUCAUAACCAAAUUGUACUUCUAAAAAAUGCUUCUUCAUGUUCCCAUUAUUUUAGCCCUUUGUCACAUAUAUUGCAAAGUGUCUUUUCUUUGUGAGUCGUCUUUUAGCAGUAGCCUGUGAGUUGGUCUCUCUUCCUACAGGUCUUAAUCCAUUCUGCACACUUAUUGAGAAGAUGAUGUGACUGUAAAUACCACUUUUAUAUCCUUAAAUGUCUUUCUAUAACAAGGUAUCAGGUCUUAAACCAGUUUAGUGUAAAUAGGAAUCACCUUGGAGGGGUGUGUUUCAAAUGCAGAUUUGAUUCAAUAAGUAUGACCCUGAAGCCCAGGAAUCUCAUUUUUAGUAAGAACUCCUUAUUCUAAGUUGUUAUUUAAUAGACAAACUAUUUGAGAUACACUCCUUAGCCUGAGCUUUUAAUGAUAUAUUUUCAGCCAGAGAAUUGCUAUAUUUCUCAGGGUGAACAUUGCUCUUGCUAUUAUUACCUGAGUAAUACAUAGAUAAAUCCAUCUCUAAGCCAUUGUGGCUAAAAGUACUUUAAAUGUAAAGUGAUAAUACGCCAUUUUUCUCCCUUGGAAUUUCUUCUACUUUCCCCUUUGUCCAUAUCCUGGCUUCCCUUUACGGUGAAACUCUGUUCCCAUCUUUUUCAUGAAUUCUUCCCUGACUAUUUUAAGCAGAUUUGAGUUUUUUCCUUUCUCUGACUCUUAAGCACUCACAUCCAACCUUUCAGUAUUUCCUUCAUUGUUGGGUUUUGUUUUAUUUUUAUGUGAUGGUCUCAAAUUGUUCAUUAUUUGUUGGCAGGGACUUUGCCUUAUAUAAUUUUUUUUUUUUUAUUUCCCACAGGACCUAUGUGGAAAUAAAAAUGAAUGCCCCUAUCCUCAUUAGUUUUGACUAUUUUGAAAGGCUACAGUGAAAUAUUCACUGGGCAUUCAGUGAAUAUUUAUAAAAAUUUAAUCAGUCUGUUCAUUUUGUUUACCGUGUCCAUAGCCUGUAUGAUUCUAUAGUUUUUGUUUAUAUAAUCUCUCAGCCUUGGUCACUGGUCAUUAUAGAUUGAAAAGGUUCCAGUCUUUUUAGUUUUUCCUCAUGGUAUUGCAUCAUGCCGUUUUGUUUUUCUAUAUAUUGCUUUUGGAUUAUCAGCAGCUCUGAUUUUAUGUAGUAUUCCAACUAAUGAUUGUUUGUGUUUUUUCUGAAAGCAAGAUUUUGGGAUUUUUGUGGGAAGGAUGCCUUACAGAACUAGACAGGAUAUGCUUAAUGAGUGUGUACUUCCUAGCUUGUGGUGGAGAGUUCUCCCUGACACUUUCAAAACAGCUAACCUAGACCCCCACAAUCUUUCCCUAAAAUCCUGAGUUGUUUCUCCAGUGGCUAGAACUUAGACUGACUCUAGGGAAUAAGAAUGGGUCCUGCAUCUUCCGCCUGAAAUGGGUAGUGCUAGAUGCCAGCCUUGUUUUGGGGUAGUGGUUUUAAGGGUGUUUCUCUCCUGCUGGGAGCCAUUAGCCAAGUAGGUAUGACAAUUUCCUUGCCAGCGUACCCCAUGUUGCUUAGUGGAAGGACUCGUGGAAAUAGGACAUUUUGCAGUGACAUUGCAUGUAGGUGACCUUGCUCAAGGACCAAGGCGGAUCCAGUUUAGGGCAUUCCCGGUUUAGGACUAUCCGGGUUUAGGGUGGUUCCAGGUUUAAGAUUAUUCCUGCUGGGAAUAGGGCGUAUCCUGCUGCCUGAGUUCCCCUUGCUCUCCUUUAUUUCUGCCUAAACCAGAACUCUGGGGAAAAAAUGACAGCAUAUUCUGGGGAACCUAAAGGGGUUGGUGAGGGCAUUUUAGGCAACAUCUGUCACUCCAUUGCUUGUCAGGAUUAUUUUAGCUAAUUUGUCUGACUGGGCAGGUGUCCCCUCUCUCCCUCAGUGCUCCAUGUGCAUCCCUCUUGAAGCUUCGCACUCUGUUGAAGAGGACACUCAUCCCAGGUAGAGAGGGGGACGGGAAACUGGGCCAAUUGAAUCUCUAUGUCCUUUUCUUUCCAUCAGAUCAAGGCUACUUAACUGGGAUCCAUUGACUUCCUGAGGUCCAUGACCUCUAUGAAACUAUUUGCCAAGUUUUGUUCAUGCAUUGUGUGUUUCUUAGGGAAGAGGGGUCCACAACUUUCAUCAUAUUCUCAAAGAGAUCUGUAGAUGCAAGUACUGUGGCACUAGAUAAUGAUGUUUUCUGUCAUGUGUUUCUUGUGUGUUUCUCAAGCAGGAAUGAUGGGAAAUUAGAAAUGCAAAGGGAAGUAGGGUGGAGGGACUUAUGUAAUCCUAGGCAAGCAAUCACAGGAUCCCUUUCUCAUUUGUGGAACAUAUCUUGCAGAUGUCUUCAGCAGAGUAGGCAGUACUGAAAGUUGUCUGUUUCUCAAGCAGGAAUAACAAGGCUAGAAAUGCAAAGACAAGACAGAAUAAGUGAUGUAAAAUAAGUAGUUUGAAAAUGUCUCAGUUUUUGUCACUAAUGUGCAUAUUAUUUAGGGAGUUUUAAUUUAGUCAUCAUUAAAAUGAGAAGGCUAGAAUACAUUCAGGGCUCCUUGUAUCGCUAAGACACCUUUCAUGGAAGAAUUUUCUGCUAGGAUGAAAGCGCUUAUCGAAUCCACUGCAGUAAAUCCUCAGUCCGAAGCAGGAGAAGCAGUCCUAAAAGGAAGCGUAAUAGACACUGUUCAAGUCAUCAGUUACGUUUGGUAUGAUUGAUUUUGUUUUUAUUUUGAGUGGAUUCUUAAUUGUGUGUAAAAGCUCUUAAGGAGCUGAUAAGUUUCUAAAAGUUUCUUUAUAUAUGUAAUGCUAUUUGGAUAUAAUUAUUAUAUUACUUGAAUCCUUAAAGGAAACGUCCACAUUCUCAUAGCUGAUCUGUAUAUUUAUUAGCUAGCCCUCACUUGCCCACAUUUACUCAUUCUACAGACCAGAUCAUGAGUUUGUUGAUUUUAAUUAUAGAAAUUAUUUCAUUUUUGUGUUUGUAUAAUAUAAUCUUAUGAAAAAUAAUGCACCCAUUUGUUCUUUCAAUUGAAAUAUUAUUUUACUUUGAAAGAAACCUCUUUCCUAAUACUUAAAAACAAAAUGGAAAGUUGCACUGAUACUUAAAUGUUGUUAACCUGUAUAUAGCAUAAUCCUUAAUACAGUGCAUCAUUGUGUAAUUACAUCUAUUGAAAUUGUGAGUAUGGGUGCUGAAUGGGAAACAUAUUUUUAAAAAGCCAGAUUUUUUUUUUAAAUGGACAUCUUCAUUGUUUUAAUCUGUAAACUGAAUUGCAGUUUUUCUCCCCAACCUUUGUUUGAUAGAAUUAGCUGUUAUUGGAUUGAACAUUGAAAUUAACUAGCCUUUGUUUUCCCCUUUGAUUUUAAUCAUGUAUAUUUCAGAAUAUUGCUAAAUAAGACAGUUACAACAAUCUUGACAUUUUAAAACAUUUUUCUGACAAACUAGACAUCUCAACUCACAGCAUAUGCUAGUUAUAGCAAGAGAUUAGUAAAUCAUGACAUUGCAUUCUUUAAAUUUCAGACUUCAAUUAAAUCAGUAUUUUAAAGAGACAAUUGUGUUGUUUUUCUAUUGCCACUUUAAGUAUCUUAUCUGAAAAUCUGUUCCUUGCCAUGUUUUUCUUCUGUAACAUAAACUGUGCCCUGUGAAUUUCUGGGGACUGAAUUUGAAAUUGCUCCUGCCAACUGUUCGUGGCCUGGUGCUUAUCUGAAUGCCUGAAUAUCUCCCCGCUGAAUGAAUUGCGUAUUCUGCCCUGAAUUCACUCUGAUAUAUUGAUUGGCUGGGCGAUCUUGGUGCUGCCCACUUGCCGUUCCAGAAGAGCCACCGAAGGAAAAGAUCCAGGAGUAUAGAGGAUGAUGAGGAGGGUCACCUGAUCUGUCAAAGUGGAGACAUUCUAAGAGCAAGAUGUAUAGAAUAUUUUUCAACACUUUUUAAACUUUGCAGACAGAAUAAUCUUUUUAAGAAUAGUUUGUCAGCGGGGGGCUAAAGAACUCUUCAUUGCUUUUUUGUUUUGUUUUUUGUGGGUUGGUUUGUUCUUUUGUAUUUCUUCUUUUCUGUAGAAUUUAAAUAUUUCUACUCUAAAGUUCCAAAAUAAUCAGUGGAAUUUGAGAUUAGAGCAAGAAAGAUAGCUCUAUCUAAUUGUUUUUGUAGCAGAUGAAAAUAAAAUAAUUUGAGUGCUGAAACAUUAGUUAUGCUUGUUAGAGAUCAUUUGAAAAUAUUCCACACUUAAGCAUUCAUUGUUUGAAUAACUAGUUAAUUUAUACUUAGUUACUUAUACCUCUUCUUCUCUCCCUCACUUUAGAUGAAAUCGUGGACACUUUGGGUGAAGGGGCC